AUACGUAGGGGGCGAGCGUUGUCCGGAAUUACUGGGCGUAAAGGGCGCGUAGGCGGCCCAAUAAGUCAGGUGUGAAAAACCUGGGCUUAACCGAGGUCUUGCAUUUGAAACUGUUGGGCUUGAGGACAGGAGAGGAAAGCGGAAUUCCCAGUGUAGCGGUGAAAUGCGUAGAUAUUGGGAGGAACACCAGUGGCGAAGGCGGCUUUCUGGACUGCACCUGACGCUGAGGCGCGAAAGCCAGGGGAGCGAACGGGAUUUGAUACCCCGGUAGUCCUGGCCGUAAACGAUGGAUACUAGGUGUGGGAGGUAUCGACCCCUUCCGUGCCGUAGCCAACGCACUAAGUAUCCCGCCUGGGGAGUACGGCCGCAAGGCUGAA
rnacentral:rRNA from 1 species